rnacentral:rRNA from 1 species
GACGGGGGAUGCGAGCGUUAUCCGGAAUGAUUGGGCGUAAAGGGUCCGCAGGUGGCCCGGUCAGUCCGCUGUCAAAGCCUGGGGCUCAACCCUGGAAAGGCGGCGGAGACCACCGGGCUUGAGUCCGGUAGGGGCAGAGGGAAUUCCCGGUGGAGCGGUGAAAUGCGUAGAUAUCGGGAGGAACACCUGAGGCGAAGGCGGGCUACUGGGCUGAUACUGACGCUGAGGCGCGAAAGCCAGGGGAGCGAACGGG